GAUGAAGAACGUAGCGAAAUGCGAUAAGUAAUGUGAAUUGCAGAAUUCAGUGAAUCAUCGAAUCUUUAAACGCACAUUGCGCCCGCCAGCACUCUGGCGGGCAUGCCUGUUCGAGCGUCAUUUCAACCAUCAAGCCCCCAGGGGCUUGUGCUGGGGCCCUGCGGCUGCCCGCAGGCCCUGAAAACCAGUGGCGGGCUCGCUAGUCACACCGAGCGCAGUAGCACAUCUCGCUCAGGGCGUGCGGCGGGCUCCUGCCGUGAAACCCCCCACUGUAACCCCAAAGGUUGACCUCGGAUCAGGUAGGAAUACCCGCUGAACUUAAGCAUAUCAAUAAGCGGAGGA
rnacentral:misc_RNA from 1 species